rnacentral:rRNA from 1 species
UAGUUUAUAGCUAGUUGGAAAUGUAGCGUAUAGGUUUGACCUAUUUCGAAAGUUCGUGUACGGCGUUAAACCCAAAGUCUACCUUGAACGGGGCCAGGAUCCAUAGAAGGUGUUAGACCUGUACGGGUUGCGCGCGUAUACGAUCGGUUAAACUCUAGAGUCGGGUUGCCUGAGAUCGCAGCCCAAAUCGGGUGGUAGACUUCAUCUAAGGCUAAAUACGGCCACGAGACCGAUAGCAAACAAGUACCGUGAGGGAAAGUUGCAAAGAACUUUGAAGAGAGAGUUCAAGAGGGCGUGAAACCGCUGAGAUUGAAGCGGAUAGAGUCGACGAAACUUAAUCGGUAUUCAGACGAUACGCUCGAACGGUAGCGUAUACGUGCGUUACACCGACCGUCAAAAGUUUGCGUGUUUCGUCUCACGUAUACGUUUCGCUUACUGUUUGGCGCAACUAUCGAUGCAAUUACUGAUUGUAUGCGUUGAGAGUCUCGUAGAGAGUUAGCGCACGACGACGCUCGAUAUUUAGAGGCCUCUUGUGUGCGCUUAAGCGUUCACGAGUGGAUACCUGAUAUGAGCGAUAUACGGCGUGUCGCCUAUGAGAUUUGCGAUUAACGCGCGCAACUACACUUGUGUGUGACGCGCUUCUCGUUUGCUUGUUGGCGAGUCGGCUCGCGUGUUUCGUUUCGUCGCCUUAUGGCGCGGAACGUCACGCUUGUUACGAUUCGCGAGCGACGUGUUUAAGCGCUUUGUUGAGUUGUGUGUCUCGACGUGAACGUCGAUCACCUAUCCGACCCGUCUUGAAACACGGACCAAGGAGUCUAGCGUAUACGCGAGUCAUUAGGUGUGCGAAUGCCUAAAGGCGUAAUGAAAGUGAAUGUCGCGAUCGGCGCGAUUGUUAUGCGAUUUGCGAUGCGUUUUCUUGGCUUCACAUUCUUAACUAGUCGCAAAGCAGCAUAGUCCCGUCUACGUUACAUGUAAUGAGGCGGAGAAUGAGCGUAUGCGCUGGGACCCGAAAGAUGG